GGCCGGCCCCCGGGUUGCGCUUUUAGCGCCUGACGCCCGUGUGGGAGCCUUUCUCCCGCUUAGCCCUUGACUCCACGGGGCCGCGGAGCACCCGCCGCCCGCUGCCGCCCCGUCGGGCCGGGCUCGCCUUUCCGCUUGUUCAUGACGCCCCCAGAACCGCAGUGGGAAGGAUUUAAGUUUGGGUUGGUCUGGGCCGUCGCCAAGACCAAAGCUUGGGCGGUGCCUUCGGCCUUUUGGCGGCGCCGCCAGAAAGAUGUACUGAUAGCUCCUUUUAGUGUGUGCUGGUCACGUGUCGGGAGCUCACUUAGGCUCCAGCCCCGUCAAGGUGGAAUCACCCUCGUUUUGCAGAUUUCUGGGAAGACAGCAAAUCCAGUUUCACAAACCAGACCGGAGGGGGUGGAGACUUGAAUGUCCCAUGAGGAAGUUUGAUUCCUUCUAGCCCAGAAUGCCAUCAUGGUAUUACAAGUCACCACUGAUAACUCAUAGCCCUGGGGCUCACUCAAGCCUCUAGCAGCUUGGACUCUGAGAGUUGCUGCAUACCUUAGGUAAAACUGGAGGAGGUGGGUAAAAAGGAAGACAUCAACAGAAAGUCCCAAUGGUCAUCAACCACUGGCAUCACUUCAUGUGUGUUGAGUUACCCACAUUUGUGGAAAUCACAGGCAUCAGCUCAGCAUAUCCAGAAGGCAAUGGGUAAGCCUCACCCUCGGAAAACCACCUUCGUGAUCAAUAGUAUCCCCGCUGCCAGGCAAAAAGCUGAUUGGAGUUUGACUUUUUAGCGGAAUGAGAGGUUUGCGCUUCGAUGAGGAGACCUAACCACGCCAACUGGGCGUUCAUUCAUCAGUCAGUCCAGCAGCUGCCCCUGGGUCGAAAGGAAGAGUGUGGGCAGGGCGAGGCCCACACGGUGAAACUGUCCUUUGAACGUGGCGUCCCUGAGAGAUGCGGCUUCACGGAAGAAUGAAAACAUGGCUUUCUCCACCCAAACCACACCUGUGAGAUCCUCUGACAUGGAGACAGCGGGUGGACGACUGAGGCAGCAUACAAUGUCCAGUUUCCCUGCUCAUCCCAGACUCCAUGGACCCUGCACGGUGCCUGCAAACUUCCCUCCAGCCAUGUCUCUUUCCCUGUCUCCCCUGCUCCAAGAUGCAAGUCUUCUCCCAGAUCUCUCUCUGCUUUCUGUACCCAAAUACAGCUCCAACGUCAAGUUGCAGCUCUCAUUCCCUCUUCCACCCAGCCCUUUGCCAUCUGGAGUUUUCUGCUUGGAUGCGCCCUGGCAUUUCACAGCCAGUUGUCUAAUUGGUACAUUCACCUGGCCCAAGACCACUUCUGUUAAUGGUUCCAAUCAUUGAGGCUUGACAUACUGCAUUUACCUGUGGCUUUACCUCCCACAUCAUUGCCCUCCACCCACAUUCCAACUCAUCACCAAGCCCUGCACACCCUGCUUGUCCUCUCCUGUUGAUUCCCUGGUUUGGAAAAGAAAUGAAUGCUUGUCUUCUCUGAGGCACCAAGGCACUGGCUUGAAGGGCAUUUCUAUAGUGCUUGGCGUGGUGUUUCCGUAUAUACUCAUCAGUGUUGGAUUGCAAGUUCCUCAAGAGCUGGAAUUUGUAUUUAAUUUUAAAAGCUUUGAACAGGUAUUUACCAUCUGCUGGGCAAUAGGGAAAUGAUAA